rnacentral:rRNA from 1 species
UACGUAGGCAGCAAGCGUUGUUCGGAGUUACUGGGCGUAAAGAGUGUGUAGGCGGUUUGCCAAGUUCGGUGUGAAAUCUCCCGGCUCAACUGGGAGGGUGCGCCGAAAACUGGCAGGCUCGAGUGCGGGAGGGGAGAGCGGAAUUCCUGGUGUAGCGGUGAAAUGCGUAGAUAUCAGGAGGAACACCGGUGGUGUAGACGGCUCUCUGGACCGCAACUGACGCUGAGACACGAAAGCGUGGGGAGCAAACAGG